rnacentral:rRNA from 1 species
GACGAACCGUGCGAACGUUGUUCGGAAUCACUGGGCUUAAAGGGCGCGUAGGCGGCUUGGUCAGUCCCGUGUGAAAUCCCUCGGCUCAACUGAGGAACUGCACGGGAAACUGCCUGGCUUGAGUUCGGGAGAGGGAAGCGGAAUUCCGGGUGUAGCGGUGAAAUGCGUAGAUAUCCGGAGGAACACCGGUGGCGAAGGCGGCUUCCUGGACCGACACUGACGCUGAGGCGCGAAAGCUAGGGGAGCAAACGGG